rfam:Triticum urartu cultivar G1812 contig1452180, whole genome shotgun sequence.
AACGCCCCGAAAUUCAUGUAUCAACUUGGCGGAAGAGAAUGAAUAUCAGGGCGUAGGUAAAAAACCUAGAAAGGAUAUUAGCACAUGAGACGUGCAACACAACAGCCCGCCAUAAGC